GCGAGGGUGGCGGAAUGGCAGACGCACCAGCUUGAGGUGCUGGCGAUGGCAACAUUGUGUGGGUUCAAGUCCCAUCCUUCGCACCA
rnacentral:tRNA from 1 species